rnacentral:rRNA from 1 species
UACAGAGGGUGCGAACGUUGUUCGGAAUUACUGGGCAUAAAGCGCACGUAGGCGGCACCGUAAGUGUGGAGUGAAAUCCCACGGCUUACCCGUGGAACUGCUUGGCAGACUGCGGUGCUAGAGGAUGGUAGGGGAGAGCGGAACUCCUGGUGGAGCGGUGAAAUGCGUAGAUAUCAGGAGGAACACCGGUGGCGAAGGCGGCCCCCUGGUUGGAUACUGACGCUGAGACGCGAAAGCGUGGGGAGCAAACAGG